GGCGGGGGCGGGCCCGGCCCGGAGCGGGGUUUGACGGGCCGUGGCGAGGAAAGGAGUAGAGGUAUAGGGUCAGCUUGGCGACCCCUGGCUCUGCUGGACCUGCCCUGGACUUGGAAUUGCCCGUGUUUUAAGCGGAGCCGCGGGAGUGACCUGGCAGCUCCAUCCGACAUCUUUUUCAGAAGACUUCUUAUCUGUGAGGUUUCUGGUCAACUUUCAACUGAGAAAAAGGCAGUUUACUCAACUACUCAAAGGUAGUUGUUGGCAUUUGCUGUCAGAUUUCACUGUCAGGACUCUUUUUUAUUGCAUUUGCACAGCAAUUUCUAAGUCAAAUAAUGAAGCCUCCCAAGUUUUCUGCAAGGAUAUCCCAUACUUCCUGCUUGUACAAGGUGUCACCUCUCAUCUCUGCAAGUCUUGUGUGGUUUGAUCGUUGAACAGCUGUUGGACUAGAGAGACAACAAACACCGAGGAUAUAAUCAAAGCUCACAGGACCAAGCAGAAACUGUUGUCUUCAGCAGGAUUUUAUCUCAGGCUAGAAGCACUCCAAUAUUUCACAGUAAAGACAAGCCUCAGACUUCCAGAAGAAGUUUUCCUUUGUUCUACUUUAAUGAAUCAGUGAUAAUUAACCAACAUUUAGUUUCAGCUCGAGGAAGGAAUGACAGAAAUAAUUAUGUCCUGAGACAGACAUCCCAUCAGCUUCUCCAAACCUAUUAACUGCCUCAGAUGAAUUGACAAUCAAUGAAAUGAGAUUAAAAGUCUAAAACACAAACCAUCUCCAUUUCCAUCUCUAGAGCCAGGAUGACACAAAAUUACUACCCAACUGCUGCAUAUGUUCCUAUAAACGCACCAUUAUUCUGUCCAUAAAACAGUUUUGCUGGUUCAUCCUAGGACAUGAGUUCCUCUGACACUGAAAUACAAUGUGGACUUGCUCCUAACUGAUCCUGAGCAGGGAAUGGAAUAACCACUCCUGACAUGUCUGUUUAUAAGGCAUCAGCUAAACAACUGUGUUAUCACAGAAUAACUCAAUCAGGAGUUUUGUUCUAUAGGUACAGGUGGCCCAUUGUAAAAGAAAUUUGCGGUCUUGAAGAGAGGUUAUUGUAGACAGAUUAAAGAUAUGAAAAAUAUAAAUACUAGUGUGAAAUAGGAGAAUAAGGCUGUGGUAGUUUUAGUUACUUACAAGGUGUAGCUCUGCCCUCUUUUUUGACUUAAUGUAAACAUUUGUUUAGGAUAGGAUGCACAGCAUCCUAGACUCCCUGAACUGUGCCAGUGCAAUCCCACUGUCUAUAAACACUGGAGAGGAAUCAGAUGAAUCCUGCCAAACAUCUGCUUUCAUUUAUCAAAACAAGGUUAAGAAACUUGAUCACAAUUUAUAAACAUCUCUUGGGAAGGGACUUAACACAAACAGAAGGGAGGUGGUAGCACUGAAGGGGAAGCUGAGCCCCUCCAGCAGUGUCCAGCUCAUAACAUCUGGUGUGAGCAGUAGCAGUCACCGAGAUUAUUAUUGGUGAGACAGCACCGUUAUUUUUAUGAUGAAUAAAUAGACUAAACCCAAAGUGACAUAAACCACUUGGUAGUGGCAAGCAGUCAGAUUUAUAUCUAAUCUUCAUAGCUGCUUUUCAAUAGUCUCCAUUUAUUUGGAGCUCCUAGUAUUUUGAUUUUAUCAUUAUACAUGCCUUCUGUGCUUUUUUUCUUCAAAAGCAUAAAUGAAAUUAUUCUUGAGUUCUUCCUGCAGGUUUCUUGUGUGGACUUUUCUAACCUUAGCAGUGAGUAAAAUUUCGUGGUCUUAAUCCAGCAAUUCAAGCAUAAACUGUAUUGGAGAACAGACUUUACCAUUGGUGCCAAUGUUCAGUGUGACUUGGAAUCCACGAGGAAUUCCAGAAAAACCCCCACAUUGUGAUAAUAUUUACGAAACAGGAGUAGCUUGCUCAAAUUUGAGGAAUCCAACAGACUGGCACCUUUUAGUCAAAAGAAAUGUGCUUUUAGUAAAGGUAACUUCUUAGCCAGACUUCUCAGUUGCAAAUAUUAUUAACUUUACCACCACAAGUCUCUCUAGCAGCAUUCAAAAAAAAUUAAAUUUUUAUUAACUAUAAGAACAUACAAAGAUUGCCUGAGUGAUACAGACUGGGAAGACACGUGAGAGAUGCCAAAUCUCCAAGCUCAGAGUAAAAAACCAACAAAACAAAAAACCAACCAACCAACCAACCAACCAGAAAACCUAAACAAACAACCGAAAAAAAAAAACAAACACAAAAACCCCCAGAGUGUUUCAAUACAACCAAACAGGAGCCCAGGGCAUGGGUAAGGACAGAGAGCAUCAGCAUUACUCACAGCGGGAAAUCUGCAGAGGGACUAUAGGAAAUACCCAAAUGCUCAUCUGCUAAUUAAUGGUGACAAGCAAGUCUCAAGAUGAGAUUUUGGAGGACAGGAAGAGGAUUUUAUUUUAAAAACAAAUCCAUUUUCACUCACACCUGUCAUACACACCACACACCCACAUACUCACAACCAGAAGAAAUGUGUGUGUCCAUCAUCCAGGCACCAAAGCAUGUAUAUCCAGGGCCUGCUCAGGAUCCCUCACAGUGAAACAGAAUGGAAGGGACACAGCUCUGUAGUCCUUAUCCUGGUCUCCUUCCAUGGCUGGUGACCACUCACUGCUUUGGGAUGUGCUUUUUGAACCCUGGAGCUGACAGCAACUGCCUUUUUCCAUCUCUCCAUCCCACCCUGCCUCUGUGGGUCAUCAGAGUGCCUCUCUCUGAGUGCUUCAAGGCUCCAGUUUCAUUUAUUCUCCUGCUGUCACCCCUUUGAUGGUCUGAGGCUUUGUUUCAACCUAAAUGUAGGUUGUCUUUGCUGUAGAUCAUCCCUUGUUUGUCUGAUCCAGCCUGAAGGUGUAUCUCUAUCAGCUCCAGCUCAGCUAGGCAUGUAUAAAUGUGACCAAAGGAGUGUCUUUGCAGCCUCUCACCUCUGGUGAUUGAGAUGCCAGCAGAUGCAAUCCCAUGGAUUCUCCUGGAUGACAGGGUCAUGCUGCAGCAGACUUCAGUCAGUGACCUGGAGACUCUGUAAGAGUCCAGGUUGCUCCUGGUGUUAUUUCCACUCCUGUGAAAAGUGAUUGCACUUAGCAGGUCAGCUGGCUAUAGAUGUGACUUUUUGGGGAUUCCCAUCUCUACUGGAAAUAAAAAUAAUGGUUGAAAACCACUGAACUAGAUAAUGCAAGAGCCUUCCAGUGGCCUUGAAUAUGCUAUUCAUUGAGGUCGGAAGCUGCUAUGGAAUUUUUCAAUACAUGAUUUAAUCUGGGCAGCCUGAGCUCCAGAAGCAGAGGGAGGAAACCCAGCGACUCUGGAGCCAGGGGCCCUCAGGCAAGGAAAGGGAACAUUUUCAAUGGCUUUUAAAGGACGCAUUGGCCAAGUCACACAUGUUACAGCAGUUCACUGGUGGCAUUAUAAAGCUAGAAAAGCAGUGUCAGGUGAGCUGCCUAAAAGGACAAAGAUUGCUUCAUACUCUGCAGCAUGCUAACAUUUGGGCAUUUCUGGGUUUUAACUGCCUCACAGUCAGACGGCAAGCUCUUAGCAUAGGGAUUUUUUGGCCAUCGUAAACACAGCAGCAGUUCCUCAGCAGGCAGAAACUGCUGUGGCACUGAAUUCUCAGCAACUGUGGGUUCCAGAGUGACAUAAUCUUGCCCUGGUAGCUGCAAUGGCCUACCCUGUGCACUUCCAUCCACCCACUGCAGGACAUGCAGCACUUCUCCCUUCACCUGCACCAGGAAUGCCAGGAGACAAGAGGCUUCCACUGGGAACUGUUCUUUCUUCGUAAGACAAAAAAAAAAGGCUUGAGUUUGCUUCUCAGAUGGAUCAGUCCUAGAUCUGAGUCCCAGUGUGGCCAUGCAACUGGUGGUGCCAGCACAGUGCAGGAAGCAGGGAGGGAAGGAGCCAAGGGAGGUCUGGGGAUGGAUUCUGCCAUCACCCCAGUGAGGUGUGACUACCACUGAGGGUACAGCAUAGUCUCAACUCCAAAAAGAUCAGUGUCUGAACAGCUUUCCAUGAACCACUUCCACAUCUUUCUGCCUCAAUGGCAUUCCUUCCCUUCUUCU